AUUUGAUUUCAUUUGCCCAAAUAAAUUCAAUUUUAGUCAUAAUCAAAUACUUUCUUAUUCACUUGCAUUGCAAGCCGGAAAACAUGUCACCAUCAACUCAAAUUCAGUAAUUCAAUGCAGUACUUUCACAUUACAAAGGACUUGAAAGAAGAAGGACAGAAGCCUAAUUGUCGCAGCUGUCAGAACUCAACUUGGCAUUCGAACUCGUAUUCGUAUUCGUAUUCGUUUUUCGUAUCCGCAUCUCAACUUCCAAUCAUCCGUAACUUUGCACUCAGCUCGACUUAACUCAAGUGCCAGCAAAAGAUAAACAAAAUUUGUAUCUGUGCGAAUGGACGUUGAAGUCGAACGACAAAAGCUUAGUUAGAAGGCAAAAGCAAACGGUAGCCGAGCAAUUUGUGGUCAAGUGCAAACUAAAGGCGGUCGAUGACAAGGACAUCGACUACGAUGACGAUGAUGAUGGCGAUGGUGAUGGUGACAGUGAUGGCGGUUCCUCGUUUGACUUUGGGGCAAAUGAAAAGGAAAAAGUUUCCUAAACGACAGAGCUCUGAUGCCUGGCUCUAAAUGGUCGAGAAAUAAGCCAAAUGUAUGGGCUUGUCUGUAUCAGGCACUAAUUAACGACGGAAUAAUUUCCCCUGUCCGGCAAAUGGAAACGAGCCACAGAAUCCCAGCUUGAUUGGUCUUGCGAAUGGUCCUACAGGCUGGGGUAGGUUAGUGGCUCUCCUGGUUGCUGUGCUGCUCAUGGAAUUAGAAAAGUUCAUUCGGCAGUGCAACUGUUUGGCUUUUGACCUGCUCCUUUGGUGUGCGGCUGCUUCAACUCCUUGUAGGCAUCAUUUUGCAUGCAAGGCAAAGUGCAAUAUCAACAAGCCCGGUCCAAAAACCAAGAGAAAUAUGUCGACCUGUCACACAAAGCACAAACUACCACUGGUACUACCACCAGAGCAGCCUGACACUGAACGCAGGACCAGGCACACGGGCACACAGAAUUCCUCAUGGCGGACGAUGAACGAGGAACGAGGAAUACGCCCCGGAAUUUUAAACUAAACUAUGUUCGGAGCCCCGAGCCUAAGGCUGGCACUGAUAAGACAUCCGAGAAUGCACAACUGUGAGGAUAUUGAACCACCCAAUACGGAGAAUGUGGCCAACACCAUAUGGACAAGGUCUGCGGAAUGGAAUGGAAUGGAUGGAAGGUGGUGGGCAGACCGAAUUGUUGGGAAUUUUCAUUGCAUGCAGCUUGGCCAUAAAAUAAAUGGAGAAUCCUAUUCGACUGUACACGUUUGAAAGCCCACGCACCCACAGACACACACUUGAAUACAUUUAUAUCAAUGUAAGGACAGGUGGCUGGUGGCUGAAGAGGGCCGCAGAAAACUGGUUACGACACAUGGAACUUAUGGCCUAACUGAUAGUGAUUGACAAAAUAGAGUGUUGGGCCAAGCCAGCUCAACGUAAACCGUAAAAAAUAGCACAGUUUUUGAAUAUUUUAAUUCUAGCUUAUGAAAAUAUGUGGUACUAAUAAUUUUGAAUAAAGUUUAAGUAAAGCAAAAAGAAAUAUCAAAGCAGGCUUUAAACAAGACAACAAGAGUAUGUUAUUAUUAUUAAACAUAUUUUUGAGCUACCAAUGUUUAAAUUAAAUUCUGGAAAAUUUGUACCGUGAUCUCUGUGCCAGUUUAAGACAACAGUGUACUACAGAAAGUAACUGCACUAGCUUCAUUUCCUCAACUGCAAACCAAAACGGAAGCAACAAAUAUCAUCAAGCCCAAUUGCAUUUGUGGCCGAAAACUGGAAAUAUUUACUUGCCCGAUGGGGUUAAAAUUUUGGCAUUGCCUUUCGCCAGAGGGAGACGACAGAUAAGCAGAAAGGAGUUUCCUGCCCCAUUUGGCCAAAAGGAAGAGGCAGAUUCGGCCAAGUAAGUCGGCCAUUCGAAAUAAGGAUGGCCAGUAAUAUUUGGUCGAUGUGAGGAGUGAGAAUCGUUGUGCAGGUCCAUGAUAAAAGUGGUUUAUGGCUGUGGUUAUAGUCUAUUGCUUCUACCAAGUAAUCCACUGCUUAGAAGUGCAUUAUGCCCUUUGUCAUGUUGGUAACUUUGUGUGAGGUGUUGAGUUCAUGAGGGGCUGUUGCUCACCAUGUACAUAUAUCUUCAUAUAAAUGCUAGACCUGCAGGAUUAAACUAUUUAUCUAUAUAUAUUCAGCAUUUAUGUUGAAUAUAAUCCGUGGACAACACUAAUACCCACGAUUUCCGAUCAGUAUUGCGCAUAAAGUGACAAGCACUAGGAAACUCUCAGGCUAAUGCGAACAAUUUGAAACUUGUUUCAAAUUCAAUUGGAACACUCGAGGGACUGCUACGUUUUUCAAACCACAGGACUCAAGAGGCCACGUUUGUGUGUUUGGCAGCAGUUAGAGCCGCCUAUGACAACCGAGUUGCCAAUGUCGUAGUCGUUGUCAACGUCAUUAUCAAGUGGCUGACACCCUUCGGAAAUUCCGCCCACCGUUUCCCGAAAAUGUCCCGAAAAUAACCCGUAAAGCACUUAAAAAAGACCGCAUGACAGCCAGCGGGCUACUAACAAUCCCCGUCCAUUUUAGCUCUCCUUUCUAUCCUGGCUGAAAGUCUGGUUUGAGAGGUUGCCUACCAUAAUCGAUGGUUGUUGUUGCCUUUGUCGUUACAGGUUGGCGCAAGUACUUGUACACUGGGAAAAAGGCAGUCGAAUUGGGAUUUUAUAAAGUUGAAUGUAAUACUUCAACCUACCAAAUAAGGUGCUUUAGAAAGCAUGCAUCAUUACAAGGAAGUAUUAUAUUUACAAAAAUUAUUUAUAUAAACUUUUUUCGAAGUUUGUGAGCAGUGUUGGGGAAGUCCCAACUAACCGCAGUUUUCACUUCAAUUUAAACUUGCUAAAUGAAGUGUUCAAUGCCCGGUUUUCCCUACUGUGACUGCCCCGUUUUAUCCUUGUGUAGAGCGAUCCAACGAUGUCCUUGCCGCGCUCCUUGAGUUUCAGAUAACCGACAAGUUGGAGUCUGCAUAUGAGGAACAUGUUAAUUAGAGCCUAUUGAAGGCAAUCACUGCAUGGUUCACUCUACGUAGUAUUUGCCUUAUCCAUCUCCGAAUCAAAUGAUGUAUUUUUACAUAUAUUUGUAUGCGCAGGCACACUCGCCCAACAACCUAAUGUUCAUUUUAAUUAAACUCAAACAUGUGCGUAUUCAUAGAUGUCUGUGCGAACAAACAGAUUCCCCAAAUGGCCCAUUGAACUGACACUGGACUCCCAAGGCGGUUGGUCACCAACAAAUUUACGAGCACAACAAACGAGAGCAGCAAACAUAUAUGUACAUAUGUAUGCAUGUAGAAGUGCACAUAAAUUCCCCCACAUGAACACACCAACUCAGACCAACUCAGACAAGCGACCAUUCACAGAGAAAUUUAAUAAUUUAGCAGUUAAAUUAUUUGGCACUUGUAAUAAAACAAACAACUUGUAGCAAGCUGCAGCAGAAACUCCAGCAACAUCCUCCCAAAACGCAGUGGACAGUUGCAAAGUGUUAAAACGCAAAACUUUCGGAGGAAGCCGCAGAAACUGAAGUGCAGAGCAAUGCAGAGGAAACCCUAUAAUGUGUCGGCCCCGGCAUGGUCGUGAUGACCAAAUGUUGUUAAAUAGCACGAGCAACAUGUAAAUAUAAAUUUUCAGCACAAGAUUUAUGCAUAUUUUGAAGUUGGGCGUAGUAGAGCAAUGUCCUUGGUAAACACCAUGUGUUUGUGAAUUUUAAAAUGGUUUAAAUUUCGUCUGGUACUGCAGCUGUUGCAAGGACAUCAACUGCAGGCAGUCCUCUGCAGAUUCCACACGAAUUAUGCUCCAAGACAUUGGCCCAAGCAACCAGCUUACUCCUCUAGCUGAUGUUUGUCUUGUUGCAUAUACUCGUGUGUGUAUGCAAAAGCAUAUAUUUAUCAUAAUUCCACAUGCUUGCCCACUUUCUGGAGUCAUGUAAUGCUUGGUAAAACCCAUUUGGACACAUUACGCAUACGCCAUGUGAUCGCACGAUAAUAUAAACUUCUGUCUAACUCUUGAUUGUAAAAGUUUCGGGUGGCAUUUUUCGUGCGAUUGUUUAGUCUGCUUGUGUGUACAUACACAUUUUACAAGUAAUUUAUUUGAAAUCUAAAAUCAAAUACUUUUGCUACAAACAGCUUAAGAGGUUUACUGCAUAAAUUGGUAUUUAUAUUUUAUUGGUAGUGCUAAAUUGCACAAUAUUAAAUCUAUUUCAUGCAAAAAAUAGUCUGUGAUAAACAAGUAAAUUUGAUUUGCUGGAAUAUUCCUUAAGCCUGAGUAAAUUCGUUUAAGGGGAAUCUGCGAUAUUUUAAAGCAGAAUCCUUUCCACAGGAAUGGCAUCUUGUGCAAUGUCAACCGCAACGAUUAAUUUAAUAUUUCUCGGACAGAAUCACGAACGUCUCACACCCAAAACCUUGGACCCAUUUUGCCUGCGGACUCGACUCCAACGCAUCCCCGUUGUGCUGCUGUCACCUGGACAGUUUGGAUAAGAGUGGCAACAGUACUGCAGGCAAACAUUUGCAUAAAUAUUUGCCGGAUUCGUAGAGUGGUGGCCAUCUCCCCCGAAAAACCAGAAAAUGUCCCCAUUUCGUUGAUGACGCCAACAGAUUUUAAAUACAUUUUGCACCCAGCCAUCCAGCCAGCUCCCCGGUACUCCUCCGUACUCGGUCCACACCUGCCGGCUACAAUUAUUGGUUUGAGCGCUGUCCGCGGUCCAGGUGCUAGCGCUGUGGAUACGAGCAUGGGGAUAUGGGGCUAUGGGGAUAUAGGGGGCUAUGGGUUAAGGGGGUCAGAUUCGGGGGGCCUGGCCGGAUUCCCCAAAAUAACGAGUUUGUGGUAAAUUGAAUUGUUCAACAUCCACAUCUCCGCAGCACUCACCCUCGAUUAUCCCAUUCCGUCGCGUCAAUAAAAUCGUUGCACCGUUUCAUUUCGUCCUGAUAUGUUCGAAUGAUGCGGUUUUGCUACUGCUACUUCGCAUUUAUUGAGCGUUGAGCAGGGUAUAUAAGGCAGUAAUUAAACUAUACGAAUUUUACGAUUAUGUUUUAUAGACUACCUUUUCUUAUGAUAAAAAAGGUGUACAAGAAUACCAAAUGUAUGCCACUUCUUGUUUAGUUCAGUUUGAGAAUUAUCAUCAAGUUAGUUAAAAUCUAAAAAAAAACAGUACUUCUAGCAACCACUAUUUAGGAAUUAUAUUUGCCAAAUAUCCUUUGUUUUUCUUUCGCGGUAUUAAAUAGAUAUACCUGCAAAUUAUGAUGGUCAUAAAUCGAAUAGCCGUCAAUUUAUAUUUAUUUAUUUUUCUUUUCUAUCUAUUUUUGUCUUCCACUGAAUAUGACUGCAAAAUGUGAAAAUAAAUGCGGCUAAGCCUUGGUUUCUGCGUCACCCAACGUUAUUUUAUGCAAAAUAUUUGCCGUCUAAUCUAAAGUCCUAUGAAGAGCUAAAACAAACAUUUACUCACCCAUUUAUUUAUUUAGUCCUUAAAAAUGAGUGAAAACAUAGUACUUUCGUAUUUUGUAUGCGUUAUAGGAUAACAUGCACUAUACGUCAAAAUGUCAGCGCUUUUGAUGACCACAUUAGAUGAAGAGCUAGAUGCUAUCCCCAUCAUUUCUCUUCCAUAUCGGACGAUUAUGAUGACAGAUUGCUUUAUUGUGAUAUAUCGGCAAUAACAACCCAAUUCGCAGACAUGUUGCGUUUCGGCAAGGCAAUCAAAGUGGCAUGCAACACAAAUGUGCAAUCUAGUUGCAACCCCAUCCCGAAAAUAGCUGCUGAAAAAUAAAAGCGAUCCACGUUGAAGUGACAGAGCAACACACAAUGUCAUGGCUGGGAACUUUCAUCAGGUGUGUUUGUCUGCCAUAGAAUGGUGAUGGCAAUGGCAAUGGCGAUGAUGAUGACGAUGAUGAUGAUGAUGGUACGGGGGUGCUUAGCACCAGAUAGACAAAAAAGCCAUUAAAAGCGACUUAAAUGUUGCGAAAUGUUUUCACGCUCUCUGAUCUGAACUGCACUCGCAUUCCGGCGGAAAACUGAAGACAACAGCAACAACAACUGGGGAUAACAUCAAACAAAAGGGGUACGAGCAACAAAACCAAACGAAGUGUAUCACAAGAAGCCAUCGCGAGGAGAAUGAGUCAGACUGAUGAGAGGGAUGCCCAGAGAGGGAAGAGGGUCCACAGAAGCGACAUAAUGGAUAAAUCCGGAGCUGACUAGGAGGAUGACUACUCGGAGUCGAGGGCAACCGCAUGGAACUGAACAUAACUUCAUGGAAUGCAUACUAAGUGUGAUAUUAAAGGGUGACUAAAGAGUGUUUUGCAACAAUGAUUAGUUUAAUAGAGCUUCAUGGAGCUUAGUCAAAUAAAUUUAGGUAAUUCAACUAGUUUGAGUUUUUUAAUAAACCCGAAGUGCUUUACUAAAACAUUGUUACAUUUAUAACUUCUUCAGAUUUUCAAGAGCUCAGCUUCACCCCAUUCAACCUGCGCCAACUGACAGUGAAUAGAAAACUCAGUCCGUGUUGGAGGACAAAAACGAGGGGCACGAGUUUGACCAAACGUGAAAUAUGAAAAGUUGGCAUGUUGCAUAUCAGCGAUUCAUUAUGCUGGGACAAAUGUCAAUUAAAAGUAAAGCGUAAAAAUAA